CUGGGGUAUAUCACUGUGAUAUGGGCUGGGGGGCACAGUGAAAUGAGGCUGUACAAAAACAGAGACAAAACCUGCAUUAUAUCUGCAUGAGGAUUGGGACAAUGGGGAGAAACCAUACAAUAUUCUUCAAAUGAUCGUCUGAUAUUGAUAUAACCCCAUUGUAAAUUGUUUUACAAUUUUUUAAAGUAUAUUUUGAUGGAGUGAUGUCAUGACAUGGACCUAAGCAUUUUUUUUUUUAUGUAUACAAAACUGAAUUCACAACAUCUGUCCUCAAGAAAUCAGGUGUUUGAUAAUAUUACAAUAUUGCAUUAUAUUUUCAUCUCUAUUGGAUUCAUUAUCAUGACUUUUAAGCUGCCUAUUUAGGUGCAGGGUUUUGGUACAGGCAGUGAAUGGAGACAGAGCACUGUGAUGCUUUUGGCUACUGGGGUAAAGGGACACAAGUCACCGUCUCAACAGCAGCCACAGCCCCCCCUACUCUACUCACUCUUAUGAACUGUGGAACCCCUUCUAACGACCACUACAGCAUCGGUUGUCUAGCUACCGGCUUUUCAUCUUCCUCACUCACCUUCAAGUGGACAGACGCCAGCGGGAGUGCACUGACGGACUUCGUCCAGUAUCCGGCAGUCCAGAGUGGGGGAGCCUACAUCGGAGUCAGUCAGGUCCGUGUGGCUAAGAACGUCUGGAAAAACUCAAAGUCUUUCAAUUGUUUUGUGGAACAUCUUGGAAGUGAACAGACAGCAGUCAUCAAUAAACCAGUCUCAAAGUCUCCAUCAGUGUCUUUGCUUUCGGGGCCCAUUGGCACCACCCAGUACCUGAUGUGUAUGAUUGAAGAUUUCACCCCCAAUAAAGUCACUGUCACCUGGAAGAAGAAUGACAUGGAGAUGGAGGGCCAGACCCCUACUGUAGGCCUACAGCCUUCAGGCACCUACUCAGCCAGCAGUCUGCUGAAGGUCAACAAAACUGAAUGGAACAACAAGGUCAAGUACAGCUGUGUGGUGCAGCACCAGGGACAACCCACCAUCAAGACAAUCUCCAAAACAGAACCACUGAUGGUGACUCUGAACCCACCGAGUGUGAAAAAUGUGUUCAUGGACAACCAAGCAGUGCUGAACUGUGUCAUCAGUGGUACAGACCAGAACACAGUGGCUGGUACCACUAUCACCUGGCAGGUCAAUGGAAAUAACGAGACAAAAAAAAUAGUUGAAUCAAAGGGCAACCUGAACAGCAGGGUCAGUACUCUGACCAUAGACCAGACAGAGUGGACCAAUGUGAACAAAGUCCAGUGUUCUGCCAAGAAGAGUGGCGAAGACACACCGGUCAUUCAGGACAUCAGCUUCACCAAAGGAAGUCGAGCCCCUUCAGUGUCCGUUCACCUUCUCCCAGAGGAAGACACCAAGAAGGAGGGGGAUGUGACUCUGGUGUGCCUGGUGGUCAGCCCGUCUCUCUGUGACGUCUACAUCAUGUGGAAGGAGGACAGCAGCGAGUACCAGGAUGGGGUCACCAGCCCUCCUCAGAAAACCCCGGAAGGCAACUACUCUGUCACCAGUGUCUUCACCGUCAAAAAAAAUAAGUGGGAGGGAAACUCGGUUUUCACAUGUGCCGUCAAGCACAGCUUGGACAACAACACAGCACCUCAGGAGAGGAGUGUGUCAAAGUCCAUGGCGAACAUCCUACUGACUGAGCCUGAGGCGGGCUUUGCUCUGAGCUGCACGGACAAUGUUGAGGAUGAGUUCGGCAGCUUGUGGUCCACCACCUCCUCCUUUAUCAUCCUCUUUCUUCUCUCCCUCACCUACAGCACAGUACUCAGCCUGGUCAAGAUGAAGCAGUGAAGAACACAUGAUGGACUGCAGAGAUAGAUGUGUCUAGAUUAGAAAGAUGGUCUGGGAUGGUUAUGGCACAGUGUUCUUCAGUAAUAAUGUUAUGUAUAUAUCCAAUACAUUAUUGAUUAUGAUUGAUUCAUUUUGUUGAUCUCAAUAUUAUGCAAGCAUUGUGGUGAUGUGUUAUUUUUCCUUCAUUGAUUUCUAUUGUACACUAUCUUUAAAUCUAAGUGUAUCCUCUGAUGUCUCUGUGAUCUUUUUCACUUUAAUAAAGUCUAAGAUUUAGCUA